GUAGGGAAUAUUGGGCAAUGGAGGCAACUCUGACCCAGCCAUGCCGCGUGCAGGAUGACGGCCCUCUGGGUUGUAAACUGCUUUUAUACGGGAAGAAAAAAUACUACGUGUAGUAUACUGACGGUACCGUAAGAAUAAGGAUCGGCUAACUCCGUGCCAGCAGCCGCGGUAAUACGGAGGAUCCAAGCGUUGUCCGGAUUUAUUGGGUUUAAAGGGUGCGUAGGCGGAUCUUUAAGUCAGUGGUGAAAGCCUGCAGCUUAACUGUAGAAUUGCCAUUGAAACUGAAGAUCUUGAAUGUGGUUAAAGUAGGCGGAAUGUAUCAUGUAGCGGUGAAAUGCUUAGAUAUGAUACAGAACACCGAUAGCGAAGGCAGCUGACUGAGCCUUGAUUGACGCUGAGGUACGAAAGUGUGGGUAGCGAACAGGAUUAGAUACCCUUGUAGUCC
rnacentral:rRNA from 1 species